UCUUCGGAGUUCAGUGGCGGACGGGUGAGUAACGCGUGAGAAUCUGCCUAGAGGAUGGGGACAACCACGGGAAACUGUGGCUAAUACCCAAUGAGCGGAGACGUUAAAGAUUUAUCGCCUCUAGAGGAGCUCGCGUCUGAUUAGCUAGUUGGUGGGGUAAAAGCCUACCAAGGCGACGAUCAGUAGCUGGUCUGAGAGGACAACCAGCCACACUGGGACUGAGACACGGCCCAGACUCCUACGGGAGGCAGCAGUGGGGAAUUUUCCGCAAUGGGCGAAAGCCUGACGGAGCAAUACCGCGUGAGGGAGGAAGGCUCUUGGGUCGUAAACCUCUUUUCUCAGGGAAGAAGAAAGUGACGGUACCUGAGGAAUCAGCCUCGGCUAACUCCGUGCCAGCAGCCGCGGUAAUACGGAGGAGGCAAGCGUUAUCCGGAAUUAUUGGGCGUAAAGCGUCCGUAGGUGGCUCUUCAAGUCUGCUGUCAAAGAGUGGGGCUUAACUCCAGAAAGGCAGUGGAAACUGAAAGGCUAGAGAGCCGUAGGGGUAGAGGGAAUUCCCGGUGUAGCGGUGAAAUGCGUAGAGAUCGGGAAGAACAUCGGUGGCGAAAGCGCUCUACUGGACGGUAUCUGACACUGAGGGACGAAAGCUAGGGGAGCGAAUGGGAUUAGAUACCCCAGUAGUC
rnacentral:rRNA from 1 species